rnacentral:rRNA from 1 species
AUGAACAAAAGAUUUUCUUCCACUCCCAUAUUUGAAAGGCUCGAUCGAUGUCUGGCCAAUGCUGAAUGGUGUGCGCUUUUUCCCAAUACAAAUGUCUUCAAUUCGCCUAUCAUGCUUAGCGAUCAUGCUCCUAUCCUUGUUUCCACUCAAUCUAAUUUUCACAAACCUAGACUUACUUUUAAAUUUGAGAAUUGGUGGACUUUUGAAGAUGACUUCCAAACUGUAGCUAAAAAUGCAUGGGAAACUAGUGCGAACAAAUCCUUCUAUGCCAGAUCAACUAACCUUGCAGGUACUUUAAAAAAAUGGUGCAAGAAGAAGAAGCCGAUCCAACAACAACUAGAUUGCUUGCAAAGUCAGGUCAACCAAAUACAAAUGCAACCACUGCAGCAACAUGAUCACGAUCUGGAAGCAAAACUGGUAGGCCAGUAUGAGGUAAAUCUUACAAAACUCACUGAGUAUUAUCAACAACGUGCAAAAAAAAUUGGGCUAUUUUCGGUGAUAGGAAUACCGCUUUCUUCCACAAUGCAGUUCAGAAACGUAAGCGCAGAAACAUAA